rnacentral:lncRNA from 1 species
AGACCAAAAAGGAAUUAGCAAGCGAAUAACAUAUUUAUAAUACUUUUUCAUUUUGUAGAACCAAUUCAAUCGAGAAUAUAAUGCCUGGAUUAAAACGAUCCGAUUUUUCCCACAUACGGACAACCCCAACUUUCAACUUGCAUUAUAUCGUUGAAAUUGUUAUAUCCUUGAUGAAAUCAAUAUGAGUAGGCAUUUUUGCAUAAAACAUAACUUUUCUUGAAAUCUUGAUAGAAAAAUCAACAGUAGAAUUGAAGCAAGAGGAUUUGUGGAAGAAAUAUAUAUUUGAAGUUUUUAUAAGUUGCUACCCACAAUACUAAAUCGUGGGUUACACCAUUG